rnacentral:rRNA from 1 species
GGAGCAUGUGGUUUAAUUCGAUGAUACGCGAGGAACCUUACCUGGGCUUAAAUGCUUAAUGACGUACUGGGAAACUGGUAUUUCUUCGGUACAUUUUGCAAGGUGCUGCAUGGUUGUCGUCAGCUCGUGCCGUGAGGUGUCGGGUUAAGUCCCAUAACGAGCGCAACCCCUAUUGUUAGUUGCCAUCAGGUCAUGCUGGGGACUCUAACAAAACUGCCCGCGUAAGCGUGGAGGAAGGUGGGGAUGACGUCAAAUCAGCACGGCCCUUACGUCCAGGGCUACACACGUGCUACAAUGGCCGGUACAGAGGGCAGCCACUUGGUGACAAGGAGCAAAUCUCAAAAGCCGGUCUCAGUUCGGAUCGGAGUCUGCAACUCGACUCCGUGAAGUUGGAUUCGCUAGUAAUCGUAGAUCAGCAAUGCUACGGUGAAUACGUUCCCGGGCCUU